rnacentral:rRNA from 1 species
UACGUAGGGUGCAAGCGUUGUCCGGAAUUAUUGGGCGUAAAGAGCUCGUAGGCGGUCUGUCGCGUCUGCUGUGAAAACUUAGGGCUUAACUCUGGGCGUGCAGUGGGUACGGGCAGGCUAGAGUGCGGUAGGGGAGACUGGAAUUCCUGGUGUAGCGGUGAAAUGCGCAGAUAUCAGGAGGAACACCGGUGGCGAAGGCGGGUCUCUGGGCCGUAACUGACGCUGAGGAGCGAAAGCAUGGGGAGCGAACAGG